GCUAUACAUGCAAGUCGAGCGGACAGAUGGGAGCUUGCUCCCUGAUGUUAGCGGCGGACGGGUGAGUAACACGUGGGUAACCUGCCUGUAAGACUGGGAUAACUCCGGGAAACCGGGGCUAAUACCGGAUGGUUGUUUGAACCGCAUGGUUCAGACAUAAAAGGUGGCUUCGGCUACCACUUACAGAUGGACCCGCGGCGCAUUAGCUAGUUGGUGAGGUAACGGCUCACCAAGGCGACGAUGCGUAGCCGACCUGAGAGGGUGAUCGGCCACACUGGGACUGAGACACGGCCCAGACUCCUACGGGAGGCAGCAGUAGGGAAUCUUCCGCAAUGGACGAAAGUCUGACGGAGCAACGCCGCGUGAGUGAUGAAGGUUUUCGGAUCGUAAAGCUCUGUUGUUAGGGAAGAACAAGUGCCGUUCAAAUAGGGCGGCACCUUGACGGUACCUAACCAGAAAGCCACGGCUAACUACGUGCCAGCAGCCGCGGUAAUACGUAGGUGGCAAGCGUUGUCCGGAAUUAUUGGGCGUAAAGGGCUCGCAGGCGGUUUCUUAAGUCUGAUGUGAAAGCCCCCGGCUCAACCGGGGAGGGUCAUUGGAAACUGGGGAACUUGAGUGCAGAAGAGGAGAGUGGAAUUCCACGUGUAGCGGUGAAAUGCGUAGAGAUGUGGAGGAACACCAGUGGCGAAGGCGACUCUCUGGUCUGUAACUGACGCUGAGGAGC
rnacentral:rRNA from 1 species